rnacentral:rRNA from 1 species
GAAUUCGCCCUUAGAGCCUUUUCAUGGCUCAGGACGAACGCUGGCGGCGCGCCUAACACAUGCAAGUCGAACGGAACUUGAGAGAGCUUGCUUUUUCAAGUUUAGUGGCGAACGGGUGAGUAACGCGUGAGUAACCUGCCCUGGAGUGGGGGACAACAGUUGGAAACGACUGCUAAUACCGCAUAAGCCCACAGUGCCGCAUGGCACAGCGGGAAAAGGAUUUAUUCGCUUCAGGAUGGACUCGCGUCCAAUUAGCUAGUUGGUGAGGUAACGGCACACCAAGGCGACGAUUGGUAGCCGGACUGAGAGGUCGAACGGCCACAUUGGGACUGAGACACGGCCCAGACUCCUACGGGAGGCAGCAGUGGGGGAUAUUGCACAAUGGGGGAAACCCUGAUGCAGCGACGCCGCGUGGAGGAAGAAGGUUUUCGGAUUGUAAACUCCUGUCGUUAGGGACGAUAAUGACGGUACCUAACAAGAAAGCACCGGCUAACUACGUGCCAGCAGCCGCGGUAAAACGUAGGGUGCAAGCGUUGUCCGGAAUUACUGGGUGUAAAGGGAGCGCAGGCGGACCGGCAAGUUGGAAGUGAAAUCUAUGGGCUCAACCCAUAAAUUGCUUUCAAAACUGCUGGCCUUGAGUAGUGCAGAGGUAGGUGGAAUUCCCGGUGUAGCGGUGGAAUGCGUAGAUAUCGGGAGGAACACCAGUGGCGAAGGCGACCUACUGGGCACCAACUGACGCUGAGGCUCGAAAGCAUGGGUAGCAAACAGGAUUAGAUACCCUGGUAGUCCAUGCCGUAAACGAUGA